rnacentral:lncRNA from 1 species
CUCUCUUAAAAAAUUGUCAGCUAAAUUUUUGCUUUAUCAUUUAUAUAUACAUUAUAGUGUAAUCUAGGGAAAAUUUCAUGGGUGUUAUUUUCUGCCUUUCCAUUAGCUGCAGCGUUGGGCUUUAAAUGAUGUUAGUGAUUGGGAGUGGGAGAAGAGGUGGGGUUUCUUCUUAUCAUCCCUCUUGUGGUCAAUAAAAUCAUCCGACAAAUGCCUUUCUAAGGAUGUAGAAUGUAUUUAUAAAGGAAAAGCUUACCAUUGCUAAGGGAGUGGUGUUCAGUAAGGAUUUCAUUUUCUUCUACUCCAUGGAAACAAGCCUUUUGAGCUUCUACAUGUCUGCUUAUUUGUCCAGUGCUCCAGCAGUUUGAAUUAUUUUCCAGAUAUAGACAAAUUAAACUUGAUAUAUACCCAGCCCACAGAAUUCUUAUUCCUCAUUCUUGCUAUUGUAAAGAAGAUAAGGUCAUCAUAGACUUUGCUGGUAAGUGAUGGGGAUGGUCACCAAGGUUUCAUUAAUUUUUAAAAAAACAAACAAAAAAACCACAUACUGCUGCUACCUACCAGGCAUAUUGAACAUUUAGUUUGUAACCUUAUCUUUCUUUUUCUUUUAU